GAUGAACGCUGGCGGCGUGCCUAAUACAUGCAAGUCGAGCGAACAGACGAGGAGCUUGCUCCUCUGACGUUAGCGGCGGACGGGUGAGUAACACGUGGAUAACCUACCUAUAAGACUGGGAUAACUUCGGGAAACCGGAGCUAAUACCGGAUAAUAUAUUGAACCGCAUGGUUCAAUAGUGAAAGACGGUUUUGCUGUCACUUAUAGAUGGAUCCGCGCCGCAUUAGCUAGUUGGUAAGGUAACGGCUUACCAAGGCAACGAUGCGUAGCCGACCUGAGAGGGGGAUCGGGCCCACGUGGAAUGGGACAACGGCCAAACCCCUACGGGAGGGCGCAAUAGGGAAACCUCCGGAAAUGGCGGAAGGCUGACGGAGGAAAGGCGGGUGGGUUGUGAAGGGUUUCCGAUCCGAAAACUCUGUUAUUAGGGAAGAACAAAUGUGUAAGUAACUAUGCACGUCUUGACGGUACCUAAUCAGAAAGCCACGGCUAACUACGUG
rnacentral:rRNA from 1 species